GUGUAAACAUCUGAGGGGCUUCUACCGGAGAGAGAUUGUUAUGAGCGGCAACCGGCACUGUAAGUUGAACAUUGUUCUCCCCUGGCAUGUGGCCAGUGCUGAAGUCCCUCUGGAAAGAAAUCAAAAUCCUAACAGGAGUGGAAAAUCACUGGCGUUAAGAGCCCCUGGACGGCAAUUUUUAUUUGUGUUUACUCUUGAGCUGUCUUUCUUCCAGCCGCUGGCCCAUUUCUUGCUGAAUGUUCUCUAGCUCAUCAAAAGUCUUGUACAUUAAAACGUGUGCCUUUGUUGCAAAGUGGAGAAACUAGUGAAUCUGACAAGUCAGUAAUUAAUCCAACCAUUUCCUACAUCCCUCAUUCUGUUCUCCUAAUAGCACCCUUUAAAUCGGACCUCAAAAGCCACUUAGAAACCUCAUCCUGAUUGAAUACAGAGAUGCGAAAGGAAGCUGGCUCACCUCCCAAAGCUCUCUAGGUUCAAGGAUGAAAAACACUGAAUUCUGAUUGACUUGCCCUGUGACCUUAAAUCAAGACACCUCAACACCGGGUACAUUUGAUGCUGACAGGAUUAUUACCAAUUGUUCACAUCCUAAAGUGGUGUGAAAAAUUGACUUUUUGG